CGCUGACAACUAACAGAGAUAUCCAGCUCUACACCACUGCAUGCAUUUUCCCCCCUUUGUCUUCUUCCCCUGGCCCUUCAUUUCCAGCGGACAGAUCUCUCGUCACAGCCAACACAUUUUUAUUUAUGCCUUCUCCACUCUUUUUGCACGAAUGGAGCCCGUGCACAAGAGAGAAAACCUUCCAGUAAAGCAGAGAAAAAAGGGGGGAGAGUGAUGUUGUAAAAGCUGUGCAGAAGUGACAGCGCUAAGCACACUCGCUUUACUUGGGAGAGAUAUACAAUUGUGUGAGACUUGACAAAAAAAGACGUUUUAAAUUGCAAACUUAACUACUAAUAUUUAUAUAUUUCAGGAUUUAAAAAAAAUCCACUGCCUGUAUCAUCAUUAUGAGAAGCUUCGGGGUUUCGGGACACAGCCCAGAAAUAUAUUAAUUAAAGCGCACUACAGACUUUUUAGCACUGGGGGAAGAAGAAGUGGCUGGAUCAAGUCAAGCUCUGUCAACGACGGAUGGAUGAAGAUUCACGGCAGUUAAAGAAAAAAAAAGGAGCUGCUGCGUGUGGUGACGGCGUUGGAGGUCUCCUCCGCCUCCUCGUCCUCUUUGGCCUCCAGGACCUCACAGAAGAACCUGAAGAUGGAGUUGAAACUCAUCCAGGAGCAGAAGCGAUCAAUGCCGCAGCGCUCUCUCAUUCACCCUGAACUGGUGGUGAACUCCUCCGGAACGCCGCCAGCCUCUCCACCCUAUCCCAUCACAGUCCGGGGUCACCAGGGGGGCGUCUCUGUGCCAAUAUGCAGAUGAGUCUGUGCCCCUCCAAUGACUCUGGUGUUAAGCUCCACCCUUCUAUAUGGUGGAGCCCCCCAACCCACCCGACAACACUCACACACAUAGAGACAUAAACCCACUCUCUCACUGACUUAAAUAGGCCUUUAACAGCUUACGUCCACUCUUCUUUUAAUAGCCAAAGUGUGUCGAACCUAAUGGAUGUUGUCAAAGCUGAGAUGUGACGACUGAUUUAGAGGAGGAACCCCAAUGACCAAGCUUCACUAGCCACUAAAGACUGAGAGAGGGACAGAGACACUGAGAGGGAAAGAGAGUGAGAGAGAGAAUUACCU